rnacentral:rRNA from 1 species
GGCGACCGGCGCACGGGUGAGUAACGCGUAUGCAACCUGCCUGAUACCGGGGUAUAGCCCAUGGAAACGUGGAUUAACACCCCAUAGUACUUUUAUCCUGCAUGGGAUGUGAGUUAAAUGUUCAAGGUAUCGGAUGGGCAUGCGUCCUAUUAGUUAGUUGGCGGGGUAACAGCCCACCAAGACGAUGAUAGGUAGGGGUUCUGAGAGGAAGGUCCCCCACAUUGGAACUGAGACACGGUCCAAACUCCUACGGGAGGCAGCAGUGAGGAAUAUUGGUCAAUGGACGUAAGUCUGAACCAGCCAAGUCGCGUGAGGGAAGACUGCCCUAUGGGUUGUAAACCUCUUUUAUAAGGGAAGAAUAAGUUCUACGUGUAGAAUGAUGCCUGUACCUUAUGAAUAAGCAUCGGCUAACUCCGUGCCAGCAGCCGCGGUAAUACGGAGGAUGCGAGCGUUAUCCGGAUUUAUUGGGUUUAAAGGGUGCGUAGGCGGUUUAUUAAGUUAGUGGUUAAAUAUUUGAGCUAAACUCAAUUGUGCCAUUAAUACUGGUAAACUGGAGUACAGACGAGGUAGGCGGAAUAAGUUAAGUAGCGGUGAAAUGCAUAGAUAUAACUUAGAACUCCGAUAGCGAAGGCAGCUUACCAGACUGUAACUGACGCUGAUGCACGAGAGCGUGGGUAGCGAACAGGAUUAGAUACCCUGGUAGUCCACGCCGUAAACGAUGCUCACUGGUUCUGUGCGAUAUAUUGUACGGGAUUAAGCGAAAGUAUUAAGUGAGCCACCUGGGGAGUACGUCGGCAACGAUGAAACUCAAAGGAAUUGACGGGGGCCCGCACAAGCGGAGGAACAUGUGGUUUAAUUCGAUGAUACGCGAGGAACCUUACCUGGGUUUAAAUGGGAAAUGUCGUAUUUGGAAACAGAUAUUCUCUUCGGAGCGUUUUUCAAGGUGCUGCAUGGUUGUCGUCAGCUCGUGCCGUGAGGUGUCGGGUUAAGUCCCAUAACGAGCGCAACCCUUACCGUUAGUUGCUAGCAUGUAAUGAUGAGCACUCUAACGGGACUGCCACCGUAAGGUGAGAGGAAGGCGGGGAUGACGUCAAAUCAGCACGGCCCUUACACCCAGGGCUACACACGUGUUACAAUGGCCGGUACAGAGGGC